rnacentral:rRNA from 1 species
UACGUAGGGUGCGAGCGUUAAUCGGAAUUACUGGGCGUAAAGCGUGCGCAGGCGGUUUUGUAAGCCAGAUGUGAAAUCCCCGGGCUCAACCUGGGAAUGGCGAUGGUGACUGCAAGGCUAGAGUUUGGCAGAGGGGGGUGGAAUUCCACGUGUAGCAGUGAAAUGCGUAGAGAUGUGGAGGAACACCGAUGGCGAAGGCAGCCCCCUGGGCCAAUACUGACGCUCAUGCACGAAAGCGUGGGGAGCAAACAGG